UGACAUUCAUGUUUAUUAACCUGGUGCAUAUCAUGUGGCUGUUCUGAUGUAUUUGUCUCUUCCUGCCUUUUUUUAGGUCAGCAGAUGUCACUGCCUCCACCACCUGCAAAUGAGUCAACACCACACAGGCAACCAGCUCAUUGCCCAGAGCUGGAUGGGUCUAUUAUAACGUCUGCAACUUCAUCUUGGGACCCAGUUGAAGCACAAGUGACUCAUCACACAGAGGGAGGUGGCUUGGCCAUGGAGACGGAAAUAAGAGCAAUAAGGACAACCAUUACCGCAUGGCACAGUGAAUGGACGCAUUUGAGGAGAAGAUGGACGAGCUGCUCAUGCUCUUAAGGAGCUCCCAGUCACCUCCCUCUGCUCUAGUCGAUGACAUAUUGCUGUCGUCCUGCUCGACAGUCACUGAGCUGCAGGAGAGGAGGAACAAAAUGCCCUCCCUCCAGGACUUGUACUCUGGGACCUAAGCGGGCAGAGAACAUCACCAAAGACUCCACAUAUCCUGCACACACACUCUUUAACUUCCUCCCCUCUGGCAGGCGCUACAGAUCCCUGCACACAAAAACAACCAGACAAGAACAACUAUUUUCCCACUGCCGUCACUCUCCUGAACUGCAGAUAAGUGGGGUCAUCCCCACUUUGACCAUUCACCUGCACAUUACAUACUUUAUCAUUCCAAUAUGUGUCUUGCACACUACAUUUGCACUAUUACUUUGCACUCUACAUCACACUCCAUGUGUACUUAUAUUGGUAUUAUGUCUUUUUUCUAUAGUUGUUUUAUUGUGUUGGUAUCUGCCACAAUGUAUAUUGUUGUCUCUAUUGUACAGUAUGUCUGUCUAUUUGUUGAAUGUAUAGAGCACCUACCAAAGUCAAAUUCCUUGUGUUCGUAUACUUGGGUAACAUGGCGUCUGAUGUUUAUAUAUAU